rnacentral:rRNA from 1 species
UACAGAGGUCCCAAGCGUUGUUCGGAUUCAUUGGGCGUAAAGGGUGCGUAGGUGGCCUGGUAAGUUGAAGGUGAAAUCUCGGAGCUCAACUCCGAAACUGCCUUCAAUACUGCCGAGCUCGAGGACUGUAGAGGAGAAUGGAAUUCACGGUGUAGCAGUGAAAUGCGUAGAUAUCGUGAGGAAGACCAGUGGCGAAGGCGAUUCUCUGGGCAGUUCCUGACACUGAGGCACGAAGGCUAGGGGAGCAAACGGG